rnacentral:rRNA from 1 species
CACGGAGUUAGCCGGGGCUUAUUCUCCCGGUACAGUCAUUAUCUUCCCGGGUAAAAGAGCCUUACAAUCCUAAGACCUUCAUCACUCACGCGGCAUUGCUGGAUCAGGCUUUCGCCCAUUGUCCAAUAUUCCCCA